rnacentral:tRNA from 1 species
CAGAUAUUAGUUUAAAAAAAAUUUUAAUUUUGGAGAUUAAAGAUAAUGAAUAUUUAUAUCUGA